rnacentral:lncRNA from 1 species
AUGAUAAGAUGCAAUGCUGCUGCAAUUUCCUGUAUGUUUUAUUGCCUGCGUAUCCUCAACCAUCCAUUGGCAGCUCCCACUGGGGAGAGAUGUCAUUUUCUUCUAAUCUCCUCGUUCCCCACCUGCAUGCACUUUGAUGACAGCCAGAUGUGCAGCCCGUCCUGGAUCAUCUCAGGAUCAAUCUAGGCCUAAGAAAAGUCAGGCACACCAGUGAGAGUUGGCACUGGAAGCACAGGACCCAGCACUGCUCACAGCAGCUGGUACUUGUCCAUUUCACCCUGCUGAGCCCAGAGAUGGCUGCACUGCAGGUACACGGCUUAUCUGGAAGCUGCUGUAUGGCCCAUAGCAUAAUCCCCAGAAACAGCACAAAGGAGUAGGUGACAUCGGGGGCUCUGUCUCUUUGGAGUGUUUUGUGGCUCCUCCGUCAUGUUUCAGGAUGAUCAAGCCUGAGUCAGUAGAGAAGAAUGACUUUGUAUCAGAACUGGGGAGCAAGGAAUGUUAUGGUCCUGGCUCAUGGAAGUGUUUGCCAUGCAGUCAAUUCCUAUUUACAGGGAAUAAAUGAAGCAAUUUAGAUAACA